rnacentral:lncRNA from 13 species
CUUGGGAGGAGGAAUGCCUCUCACCUCAGAAACCUGGAAUCUAGUUUUGUUUGAAUAGACCUCUCACAUUCUUGCUUCCCUCUGUCUGAGCUUUGUGAAGGCCCACACUUCCCCAAUACACACACACACACACACACACACACACCUCUCAUUUCUUGAAUGACUUGGCACUCUCUCCUCUGCCAAUUACAACUGCUGAAAGUGGAGCCAUCCGUUAAUCUCCACCCGCUCUAGCUCCUCUCUCACUCUUUAAUUUUUCUCUUCCUCCCUCCUUCCCUUCUCGCUCUCCCUCCCUCCUUCCCUUCUCGCUCUCCCUCCACCCAAACAUCCAUUCCUUCUCUCAAGCUUCUCUCCUUCCCCCUCUCCAGCCUUUUCUCCCCCACCCCCAUCCCUCUCCCCCUCCAUCGACCCCAUCUAAUCUCAUUGACAAAUCAGCAGUGCCUCCCAGGCCCUUUGUCCCCUUCACCCUCUACCCCCCUGCCCCCUGUAUGCUAAGCCCAGGCCGGGUGCAGCGGUUUGGGUUACAGCGGCAGGGCGAGGUCUCUAGGGUCUGGAGCUCCACUCUGACACUGGACCUCUGCACCGGACGACAGCCCCAGUCCACAGGGCUUCCUCUCUGGCUGGGAGAGUGGAAGGGGUGGAGGAAACACAAAGAGAGGGAGAGACACAAACUCAAACACAAGAAGAUUCUAGAGCUUUCCCCCACCCUCGCUCCAACUCUCAUGGUCACCUCAGACAAGGUGAGCCCACUCCUCCUUUCCGCCCUGCUUCUCUCUCUCUAUUUCUCUCUGUCUCUCCAUCUCACUCUGUGGGUUUAAUGUGAGGUGAACAUUGACUAGCUCUGUUAGGCAUUAGGGCUGGNNNNNNNNNNUGUGUGUGUGUGUGUGCGCACACAUGGACAUGACUGCGGAUGUGUGUGUGUGAUCGAGGUGUUCGCUGAGAGUGUGCGGUGAGUGAGGGUGUGUGUACGUCUGUGCAGGGGUGCCACGUUUCCUGGAUUUUUACACAAUCUAAUAUGUCUUCUCCAUUUAGAACAAAAAGUAAGCAAAAAUGCCCACAGUCAUCAAGCUAGGUAAGAGAUCAUUAUUAAAUAUGUUUAAGUGAUUAAUAAGACUGAACUAGAUCAAAGGUAAUUCAAUAAUAAAUAUUGUUACACCUUUAACCAAUUGCCUAGCUAAUGAACAACUCUUGAAAAAUUACAGAGUUUUGAUUGUCUUUAUUAAGACCUCCUCCGUAUCACAUUUCAGCCACAACGACCAGCCAACCCGAGCCGCCUGCAUGCACAACCCCCACCAGUCUAGUCAGUAACUAAUCUCUCUCCCAACACAAUUUCCUUCCCAGUUCAAACCUUUAAAAAAAUAGAUAUAUAUUUUUAAAGGAAAGGUUUGGAAACAUAAACAAAACUUUAAAAUCCCACAUACACCUCAAAUACACAGUUGAAUUCGGAGGUUUACAUACACAGAGGUUGUAGUCAUUAAAACUCGUUUUUCAACAACUCCACAAAUUUCUUGUUAACAAACUAUAGUUUUGGCAAGUCGGUUAGGACAUCUACUUUGUGCAUGACAAGUAAUUUUUCCAACAAUUGUUUACAGACAGAUUAUUUCACUUAUAAUUCACUGUAUCACAAUUCCAGUGGGUCAGAAGU